rnacentral:rRNA from 1 species
CAGCAGCCGCGGUAUACGGAGGGUGCAAGCGUUAAUCGGAAUUACUGGGCGUAAAGCGCACGCAGGCGGUCUGACAAGUCAGAUGUGAAAUCCCCGGGCUUAACCUGGGAACUGCAUUUGAAACUGUCAGGCUGGAGUCUUGUAGAGGGGGGUAGAAUUCCAGGUGUAGCGGUGAAAUGCGUAGAGAUCUGGAGGAAUACCGGUGGCGAAGGCGGCCCCCUGGACAAAGACUGACGCUCAGGUGCGAAAGCGUGGGGAGCAAACAGGAUUAGAUACCCGUGUAGUCCCUGUCUCUUAUACA